UCUGUUUCUGUUUUAUUCAAUUCUUAAUUUCAGGUUCUGUAUUUUUCAAUUCUACGGUUUCUUCCUGAUGUUUUUGGUAUAUUUCAAUUCUCUGGUGAAAUGCUUAUCUUUCUUAAAUAUGUUAUCUCCCCUUUACCUGUUUUCUUGAACAUAGUGCUCAUAGUUCCUUACAAGUCCAUGUCUACUAGCUCCAGAGUCUGAAUCACCCAUCGGUCUUUCUCUGUCGUCUGUUCUGUUUAUAGGUGUCUAGAUGCAUGAUUCUGUCUCUCAGCGUGCGUGCCUAUUAAUUGUUGAUUGAAUGUUAGACGUCCUGAACCUCCAGAUUUUAUUUUCCACCAGAGAGAGCUUAACCUUUCCUCUACUGGAAAGAUUGGGUGGAAGGUAAUCACAUUAAUCAAGUUAGGUACUGUGCUGAGUUGAAGCUGGGUUGCAGUUUGACUGAGGCUCCAUUUUUCUCUGGUUUGCCUCUUCUCCCAUGGCGUAGCUUGCUAGGCUUUUGGUAGUGAAGGUGCUAUCUUCCCUCGGGUCCCUUUAAAUGUUGUCUUUUGAGCUUUUUUACCCGCCCAUUUAGGACAGCUCAGAAUUUGCCAGAUAUUUGAAGAGGGAACUAGGCAUGUGUUUCAGGUCAUUUGUUUCUCCAGGUCUGUCAUUCUAGCCCUGCAGGAGUGCCAAAAAUUCUGCUGGUGUCUCUGUCCUAGCAGCAGUCUUCUGCCAGGACAAAGCCCAGAGUACCAUUCUCUCACCUUCACCCAGAACCAGUAAUGCCUGCAGGGGGAGAGCGGCUGCAGACCCUCAGCUUACCUCUCUGUUCUCGCUUCUCUGGAAUCCUAGUGCCACAAGUUGUCUUUGUUUCCGCCCAUCUCUGAUACUUUUAAACAAAUACUUUUUGUAUUUUAUCCAGCUUUACUAGUUGCUCUUGGCAGGAGCGUUGGUCUGCAACAACCAACUCUUCUGUCUGGAAGCAGCAUUCCAGUGAGUUCGUAAUUUCUGUUAUUAUAUUUUUUAUUUCAGGAAGUUAUAUUUUGUUCACUCCCAAAUCCAUUUGAUGAUUUUUACAGUCUCUUGUUACUAUCUCAUAUUUUCAACUCGUUUUAAUUUUCUUGUACAUUUUAAACAUGCUUAUUCUGUACUUACCUUCUGAUUAUUUUAGUAUCUCAAGUAUUUCCUGCUCCAAUUUUGGUAUUACUUCUGCUAGCUUCAUUUAUCUUGCCUUAUUUCUUUGCAGGUUUACUGAUUCACGAAUGUGAACUUAUAUGUCUUAAAAUUAGUCUCUGUGGGACUUUUCAAGGCCUGAGUUGAAGGUGGCUUCCUUCAUAGAGGCUUUGUAUUUGCUUCUGGUGGUAGCCUGGGAGCAUGUGCAGGCCUCGGCACACUUUAACAUCAUUUGAAUUUUAUUGGGCCACUUAAAUAAUACUAGUUUAGGUAGAAAAUCCACAUAAGGGCUAGCUUGUGAUUAUAAAAUUCAUAAGGGGAAUAUUUUUUUCUAUCCUCCAUUCAUAGUCUGAGUUCAAGAUUUCUCUCUGUGGGUGGGCCCUGGACUUUGUCCACUAUCCCCUGCUCCACUAGGAGGCCAUGGAAACCAAAGCUCAGCUUCACCCCUGUCAUAAGUCAAAUGCUCUCAAGGUAAAAUCUGCCCUUUGUACUUCACAUGCCAUUAAGGGUUCCCAGGUUUACUUAGGUUUUAGCUUCUCAAUAUUCCUUUCUGACAUGCCAACAUAAUGAUGUAUUUGGGAAGAUGUUUGUCAUUUUCUGUUCAACAUUUUUAGUUGUUCACUGUGGGAGGUUCCAGAUCCAUCACAGUAGGAAACAGUAGUCAGGGCUGAAUGUUACUAAAUUUACACACAUACACACACACAUGCACGUGCACACACACACACACACACACAUAAUUAUACUGCUAAUAAAAUGUUCUGAAUUUAGUAUCACUUGUAUACAUGAUUAAAAUGAGUAGAUAAUAAAUUUGCCUUCCAAGAUCCAUAAUUGCAGCUCUUUGUCCCCACCAGUAACUACAAGCAGUUUCUCAUUAAAGAAAAGAAAAUGAUUGAAUAAUCCAAAUUAGCCUGGGCAAGAAAACUAACAGCUGCCUAAAAUGAAAUGUUUGAGUUAUGAGCCAUGUGCCACUUUGGUUUAUCUGCAGCCAGAAGGUUCAGAAUCCUUAUUCAAUUAACCAUGUUGCUUGGGAGGGCCUGGUUGCCCUGAAUAAGAGCUGCCUGGUGAUGAGUAAGAGGUAUCCGUGACACACAAGUUCAGACUUUGCAACUCUGUUUUUGUUGUUUGAACUUUCUUCUCUGUUGUAGCUAGGGAUCCGGCAUGGAAUUUAAACACUUGUGUGGUAACUCCAUUCCUUCAGCCAUUGUGUUGUUAAGCUCUAGCUAACGAACUUUUAACACUGGUUCCACGUAAAGCAAGACUUAGAAAACAGCAGUAAUCAACAUGUCUGGUUUUAUAAAUAAAACCAUAUGAUUUAUAUGUUUUUAAGCAAGUAAGAUGCUUCUGCCUGUCUAGUCCAGCUGCUCCCCCUCUAAAAAGUAGCCUUCGUGAUAUGUAUGAAAAAUAAAUCAAGGUGCUCCUAAGAAAGCUUAAAUUAAAAAGUGGCUUUCAUUUCAAGAAAUCACACCUACUAUAGGAGAAACUUCCAAAUGUGUACCUGUUUUAAAGCUUAGCAACUUUGAGUAAAACAGAGAAACUAAAAUUACAUAUUAUUUGAAAAGGUGAGAGCUGCCAAAUGCACCAGUUAAGUAUACUUUGUCUCCUGUGGACUUUUCUUCCAAGCCAACAGUUUUUGUUGCUUAGGGAGAUCCUCCUGAUAAUGUCACAAAGAAUGUUUCUCAAGCUCAUAUAGAUUACGUACACACUGGCUUGCUAGAGACAAGGUUUUAUUUUGAAUCUAUAAGUCUCAUUUUGCUUCUAGACAUACUGUUUUGAAACAAAAACCAGGUGACUAGAAGAGGGGAGACUGAAUUUCUUCUCCAACUCCCAAACCAGUUCUGAAGAUAAUUCCAGAGGAGAAAAUUCAGAUAUAAUUUGAGCAGCAAUAUAAUAAUUUGACAUAAAAUAUCUCUGUUACUGCUUUGAAGAACUGCUCUUUACUUGAAUGUGUACACUGAUUACUAAUGUCUUACAUCAUAGUCUUACCACUUUACAAAAUUAGAUUUGCUUUUUGCACCUUAUUUUCUUAAAUUGUGGUCAUAUUAUAAAGAGUAAUUGUGUACUUUUAUUUAGGUGACACAGAGGAAUGUGAACAUGUAAUCUUGCUUGUUGAAUAGAAGUGAGGAGAAACUUUUGAAAUCAGAAGUUUCUUUUCAAUUAAGACCUCAAUCAUAUCAAAUAAUCAUUUUAUUUCUGCUUUUAUAAAAAUUGCAACAACUUUCAAGAAAUAUAGCUACCUUGUGGACUGCAAGUUCAAAUAUUGCAGAUAUUAUUGGGUUAAAGUUGCAGUAAGACAAAAGGUGGCUUUAUCAUUUCUAGAAUCGAAGAAUGAAGUGUGUGUAUGCUUUUAUUUUUUAAUUUUAGAAAUGUUUUCUGGGCCCAUUUUGGAUUUUUUUUAAAGAACCAACAGCCCAAAUCAUACAUCAAGGUUCUGACAUUAUUUUGUUUUACUGUGGAUGGCAAGAAAAUUAAUAAAAGUGACUUCCAUUUAUACUAAUGCCUUAGACCUUAUGCUCCAAGCAUACUCUCCAUUUCAGUUCCUACCCUAUACUUUCAUUAUUUAAUUCAUUUGACAUUUUUAAUCCUCUACUGAGUCAAAUCCACCUUCAUGAGUUUAAAUCCAAUUCAUCCUUCAAGAACACUUGUAUACCACCCCCUAACACGAAGCUUUCCCUAGUUCCCCACCCCCACCCCCCCACCAAGUAGAAGUUAAUCUCUCUUCUGUAUGACUUACAGCUCUUUCUCCAUCUCUAUUAGGGCAGUUAUUAAGUUUCCUCUUGUUUCCUUUUUCCUGUACUGUCUCCCAUUAGCAUGCAGCCUCUGGAGGUCAGAGAUUCAGUCUUGUUCACGUUUCUUUGCACAGGAAAUACAGCUUCUUUACUCAAGGAAUAGUAAACCCAAACUACCAAUUUGUCUACCAUAUUGGAAAAUUUGAAAUCAUCUUAAUAAAUAAUAUACAAAUGCUGGCACAUGGCCAAAUGAAUCAUCUUUGUCUUAAAGUAGCAAAAGGUAUUGCAGAAGCUGCUUCCAUGUCCUUUAGGUGACAAAGCCUAUGAGGACCCAGUGACUACUCGGGAUAAAGAAAGACAAGGAAGAUAAAGCUGUUCAUAGACUGAAAAGAGAAGAAAGAGUAACCUAAAACACCACCGAUGGAUUGCAUCAUGUAUGUAUGUGUGUGUCUCUGUGUGUGAGUUUAUGUGUGCCUGCAUAUGUUAUGUAUAUGUGUAUAUUUAUAUACACAAAGAGGAGAAUGAGUGAAUUUGAGGAAAACAGCCUUUGUUAAGGUGACAUAAGAAUCAGCAUUUAUAUUUGAGUCCAGAGCUCUGCUUUGUAAAUAGGCUUAAUGAUUUGGCUGGUGUUAAGUUAUAUAGUACCACGAAACCAAAUGUAUCAUAUUCAACUUGGCCCCCCCAGCUUCUAAAAUCUAACUUUCCCUAAAAUCUAUUAGGAGAUGACUUCACCAAUCAAUAGAUUUAUCAUUAAAAGAACUGACUUCUAUAAUUUUACUGUUAAAAGUUAUUGUAGAGGCCUCAUAAAUUCAUUUUAUCAGAAAUAAAAGAAACCACUUAAAACUUCACUUUAAAGAUUCUAUUUGUUAAUAGAAACUCAAUAAAUCUACCAUUAAGAGAUAAAACUUGUAUACUUUAUGAUACUACAUUAUAUAUUAUACUAUUUUAUACUAUAUAUUAUGCUACAAUGGUCUGUGCAUUUCAUUUUACUAAUCUGUCAGAGAUAAAAUAAUACACUACCUACCCACAUCAAAUAAUUAUGUGUUUCCUUAGUAAGGUACAAAAUGGAGGCUGGCUAUAAUUUCCAGUUUUGCCAAAUGGAGUUAAUCCUGGCUAUUUUGCAUAGAAAGUAGGGGUGUGUGUGUGUGUGUGUGUGUAAAUGUUGGUGACUAAUACUGUCAUUGACAUUUUCAUGGGGGAUGUCUAUUGUCAAUUUUAAAAUAUUUGUUUAGGAGAACAAAUUUUUUAAUCAAUUUUUACCUCCUAUUGGUAGGCUAAAUUUAAUUUCUAGUGAAAAUUACAGCAGAUUCUUCUGAGCAGCAGCUUUUAUCUUUCCUACAGUGUCUGAAAUUAAUCUCUCAAUUUUGUGUGGAAAAAACCUAGUAUAGCUCUAUUAUUCAAAGUUUAUGCUUCUGUUAUAAAAUUGUUGCUUAUUAAGAUCACUUUGAAACUAAAGUAUCUUAUCAUAUAUCUUUUUAAUUUUUUGACACUUUUUCUAUCUGGUUGUAAUAUAUUUUUAAAGUAUACCCUAACUGCUCUGUAGUAAAUUUUGCAUUUCUUCUCACUGUGUUUAUAGCUUUUCUCUUCUUGGUGAAACUGUUGGCCUUCAUAAAUAUAGCAAGCACUUUCAAUAUGUGACUACAUUAGUUUGAUUUCUUUUAUUCAUUUCCUUGGUAUAUUGUAGUUAAUGUCUUUGGAUAUGUUUUAAAUAAAAUUUCACUUGGAUGAUCCAGA